ACCCACUGAGCAAGGCCAGGGAUCGAACCUGCAACCUCAUGGUUCCUAGUUGGAUUCAUUAACCGCUGCGCCAUGACGGGAGCUCCGAGAAUGAUUCUUUGAAAGAGAAAGAAAUUUAAGUAAAACCUGGACUCAUCCUAGUCUCAAACUGAAGUGAAUAAAACCAAAUCCUCCAAGUUCUGUGAAAUGAUGUCUACCCAGUUCUCAUCUUUCAGAAACCUCCCCUGUCAUGACUGUAGACCCUUAUCUUAAACAUUCUAGGAUCUCAGCUGGUUUCUCCUGUCUCAGCAGCCACCAAGAAUCUGCUGAUUGUUUUGUCAGGAUGCCUCCUUCAUGGCAGGUUGGAAAAGUUCUUUGCUGAUACUUAUUUUCUUUUUCUUUUUUUUAGAGCCUCACCUGCAGCAUAUGGAAGUUUUUAGGCUAGGGGUUGAAUCGGAGCUACAUCUGCCACCUACACCACAGCUCAUGGCAACGCUGGAUCCUUAACCCACUGAGCAAGGCCAGGGAGAGAACCUGCAUCCUAAUGCAUACUAGUCAGGUUUGUUAACCGCUGAGCCACGGAGGGAACUCCCUCUGUUAUUUCUUUUAGGGCCCAUAACAUUGUUUCCGCAAAGCAUUUGGCUCUGCCACUUCUGUCUGUCCCCAUGACAUCCUGGUUGAGAUAAGCACCCUAUUUCCUGGCUGUAUCGCAAAUGCCAAUAAAAUGUUCAGCAUUCUGGCUUUAGUUUUCCCAGAAGAGGAAUUUACUUCUACAGGGAGUGAUCUGAAGGGAUCUUUAUUGUCUACUCUGCCCUGGAACUGUAAUUACCUAGUAGGGAAAACAGUGUCCUCUUCGCUCUAAACAUUCUCUCUUGCCCUCUCACCCUCCAGCAGGUUUGAUUUUUGCAGUUGUGAAGGGGUGGCAGGACCACAAUGAUAAAUGGAGACCUGGCUUCUAGAUCCAGCUCUGCUACUAACCAGAACAGAAGCAAGUGGGAAUCUUCCACCGGAGCCACAUUCCUGACAUCUCAUCCUCAGAAGAACUUUACUUGCUGGGCCUGACUCCGCUACCUCCACUGCAGUUCCACAGCAGUGGUCAUGGUCACGGAGAAGCAUUUGGCAACCUCUGCAGGUGCAAAGCUCUUCUGCCUGGAAGUUCCUCUGCCUGGAAGCUCCUCUUUAUCUCCUUAGCUCAUCCCAUACUUCACGUCACAGCUUUUACAGGUAACUUUCUCUAACCUGACUUCCCUAGUUCUCUGACUGGAUCAGAUGCCCCAGCAGUGUGCUCUCAAACACCUUGGAUUUUUCUUUUCAUUAUAGCACUUAAUUUCAUUUCUUAGGUGAUAUGCAGUUCCCUCCUCUACCAAGAUCUAGUCUGGUUCACAACCCCACUGUUUCCACCUACUGUGGCCUGUCUCAGCUUGCAUUAUGUGCUGUACCAGUGAGGACAGUCCCAUCAGCAAAUAAGUUCAGGGAGCACUGUAUUGCCUCUUGGAAGACCACAACACAUACCAGCUCAUCAACAGUUCUGAGAUGUCCUGCAUAAAGAAGUGCAAUUAUCCAAAUCUUUAGUUUAUUUGGCUGUGGGACACUUUCCACAAUAUCUAUCAACAUCUCGAGGAAGAGUUUGGGAAAUAUUGACCCAGAAAUACCAAAGGCAUAAAACUGUGAAUAAGACUCGAUGGGCCAAUCCAUCUUCAAAAGUCCUACUUAUCUAGCACUCUUUUCUCCUAUUACAAGGAAACUGGGUUUUCUCUGCCUGAAUUUCUCCAAAUUACACUUGGGGCAGAGUAAACAAAUACAAAUUACUUUCUCUUCCUGGAACACAAUUGUAAAACAUUCUUCUUCUUUUCUUUUUAGGGCCUCACCCACGGCAUAGGGUGGUUCCCAGGCUAGGGGGCAAAUCAGAGCUACAGCCGCUAGCCUACACCACAGCCAUGCCAGAUCCGAGUCACGUCUGCAACCUACACCACAGCUUACAGCAGCAUAUGAUCCUUAACCCACUGAAUGAGGCCAGGGAUCGAACCUGCAACCUCAUGGGUCCUAAUUGGAUUUGUUUCCUCUGUACCACCACAGGAACUCCCAUACAAUGUUAUUCUGGAAUCAGUCACCAUGGAGACUGUGAAUUUAACCUCUGGUUUUACUGGCUGUUUCUGACUUACCUACCUCCCUACUUCUGCAUGGUUCAUCUAUAUAACUGGCAACUAUUGGUUAGAGAUGAUAAAUUCAUCUUUUCAGAAACUCCAUCAAAGCAUUUUUUAAAAAGAUGUUGGAAUCCUUAACCCCAGUACCUAAUGUGAUCUUAAUUGUAGAUAGUCUAUACACAGGUUAAUAUAGUUAAAUAAAGUUGGGGUGAAACUUAA